GCCGCCGUAGCUCAGCCUGGUUAGAGCGCCGGCCUUGUAAUAGCCGGCGGUCGCGGGUUCGAAUCCCGCCGGCGGCU
rnacentral:tRNA from 1 species